GCUAAUACGUGAUGUGCUGUCAGAUUGUGUUCUGCCAGUAAAGAUUUAUUGCUUUGGGAUGGGGUUGCGUUCCAUCAGCUAGUUGGUGGGGUAAAGGCCCACCAAGGCGACGACGGAUAGCCGGCCUGAGAGGGUGGCCGGCCACAGGGGCACUGAGACACGGGUCCCACUCCUACGGGAGGCAGCAGUUAGGAAUCUUCCACAAUGGGCGAAAGCCUGAUGGAGCGACGCCGCGUGAGGGAUGAAGGUCUUCGGAUCGUAAACCUCUGAAUCAGGGACGAAAGACACUUCGGUGGGAUGACGGUACCUGAGUAAUAGCACCGGCUAACUCCGUGCCAGCAGCCGCGGUAAUACGGAGGGUGCAAGCGUUACCCGGAAUCACUGGGCGUAAAGGGCGUGUAGGCGGACACUUAAGUCUGGUUUUAAAGACUGCGGCUCAACCGCAGGGAUGGACUGGAUACUGGGUGUCUUGACCUCUGGAGAGAGAACUGGAAUUCCUGGUGUAGCGGUGGAAUG
rnacentral:rRNA from 1 species